rnacentral:tRNA from 1 species
AUGUAGUGCCUCGUGUUGGUGCCCUUGGCUUCGGCCCGGGGCUCAAAAGGGAACCCGGUGCGAAUCCGGGGCUGCCCC